rnacentral:rRNA from 1 species
AUUGCCCUAGUAACGGCGAGUGAAGCGGCAACAGCUCAAAUUUGAAAUCUGGCCCCAGGCCCGAGUUGUAAUUUGUAGAGGAUGCUUUUGGUGAGGUACUUUCCGAGUUUCCCUGGAACGGGACGCCUUAGAGGGUGAGAGCCCCGUACGGUUGGAUACCAAGCCUUUGUAAAGCUCCUUCGACGAGUCGAGUAGUUUGGGAAUGCUGCUCAAAAUGGGAGGUAAAUUUCUUCUAAAGCUAAAUACCGGCCAGAGACCGAUAGCGCACAAGUAGAGUGAUCGAAAGAUGAAAAGCACUUUGAAAAGAGGGUUAAAUAGCACGUGAAAUUGUUGAAAGGGAAGGACUUAUGACCAGACUUUUUCUAGGCGGAUCAUCCGGUGUUCUCACCGGUGCACUUCGCCUAGUUAAGGCCAGCAUCGGUUUCCGUAGGGGGAUAAAAGCAGUAGGAAUGUGGCUCCCUCGGGAGUGUUAUAGCCUAUUGUAUAAUACCUUUAUGGGGACCGAGGUUCGCGCUUCGGCAAGGAUGCUGGCAUAAUGGUCAUCAGUCACCCGUCUUGAAACACGGACCAAGGAGUCGAACAUUUAUGCGAGUGUUUGGGUGUUAAACCCUCACGCGUAAUGAAAGUGAACGGAGGUGAGAGCCGCAAGGUGCAUCAUCGACCGAUCCUGAAGUCUUCGGAUGGAUUUGAGUAAGAGCAUAACUGUUCGGACCCGAAAGAUGGUGAACUAUGCGUGGAUAGGGUGAAGCCAGAGGAAACUCUGGUGGAGGCUCGCAGCGGUUCUGACGUGCAAAUCGAUCGUCAAAUCUGCGCAUGGGGGCGAAAGACUAAU